rnacentral:rRNA from 1 species
CCUACGGGAGGCAGCAGUGGGGAAUAUUGCACAAUGGGGGAAACCCUGAUGCAGCGACGCCGCGUGAAGGAAGAAGUAUUUCGGUAUGUAAACUUCUAUCAGCAGGGAAGAAAAUGACGGUACCUGACUCAGAAGCCCAGGCUAACUACGUGCCAGCAGCCGCGGUAAUACGUAGGGGGCAAGCGUUAUCCGGAUUUACUGGGUGUAAAGGGAGCGUAGGCGGCGGUGCAAGUCAGAAGUGAAAGCCCGAGGCUCAACUCCGGGACUGCGUUUGAAACUGUGUUGCUAGAUUGCAGGAGAGGUAAGUGGAAUGCAUGGUGUAGCGGUGAAAUGCGUAGAUAUUAGGAGGAACACCAGUGGCGAAGGCGGCUUACUGGACUGUAAAUGACGCUGAGGCUCGAAAGCGUGGGGAGCAAACAGGAUUAGAUACCCGAGUAGUC